rnacentral:rRNA from 1 species
AAAGUCCGUAACAAGGUUUCCGUAGGUGAACCUGCGGAAGGAUCAUUAUCAAAAGUCGGUCGGGAGCUCUUGUGGCUGCCGUCUACACCCAAGUCUUUUGUGUACUCUUUGUUUCCUCGGCGGCGUAAGUCGCCGAAUGGACAAAUCAAAACCUUUUUGUAAUUGCAAUCAGCGUCAUUAAAUAUAAUAAUAUUUACAACUUUCAACAACGGAUCUCUUGGUUCUGGCAUCGAUGAAGAACGCAGCGAAAUGCGAUAAGUAGUGUGAAUUGCAGAAUUCAGUGAAUCAUCGAAUCUUUGAACGCACAUUGCGCCCCUUGGUAUUCCAUGGGGCAUGCCUGUUCGAGCGUCAUUUGUACCCUCAAGCUUUGCUUGGUGUUGGGCGUCUUGUCGGAAUAUCCGACUCGCCUUAAAUACAUUGGCAGCCGGCACUUUGGCCUAGGAGCGCAGCACAUUUUGCGAUCGUAAGCCGUUGUGACAGCAUCCAUAAGAUUUAUUUUACCACGUUUGACCUCGGAUCAGGUAGGGAUACCCGCUGAACUUAAGCAUAUCAAUAA